rnacentral:rRNA from 1 species
UACGUAGGGAGCAAGCGUUGUCCGGAAUCAUUGGGCGUAAAGCGCGCGUAGGCGGCCCUGUAAGUCCGCUGUGAAAGUCAAAGGCUCAACCUUUGAAUGCCGGUGGAUACUGCAGGGCUAGAGUCCGGAAGAGGCAAGUGGAAUUCCUGGUGUAGCGGUGGAAUGCGCAGAUAUCAGGAGGAACACCAACGGCGAAGGCAGCUUGCUGGGACGGUACUGACGCUAAGGCGCGAAAGCGUGGGGAGCGAACAGG